rnacentral:lncRNA from 1 species
UCGUUGCAAUUCCUACCCUAAGAUUGUGCGGACCAAAUCUCUAUUCCCUUACACCAAAUGUCAGGGCUUAACCGGUCCGUUCGGUCUAUAAAUUUCGGUUUGUUACUUCUUCAGUUCUUUCAUUUUAGAGUAAUUGGUGGCAGUGCACCCAAACUCACUUCUAAUUAGCAUCAUACACUCUACUUCAAAAGCCACAAUCUAUGACUUUUUUACCCCUGAUAGCUGUCCCCCUAUGGCUCAGAUCCUCUGCGUUUUGUGUCAGUGGACUCAUCUUUUACACAUCGGUCAAUGAAAUGUCUAUGUCUUUCUCCAAAAGCAUACGAAACUGUGAGAGUUUUGUAUCUUUGUUCCAAUUUUAAGCAUCAAAAAGUUGCAAUUCAAAUUUCUUCAAUCACUCUCUUUUGUUCUUCUUUCUCAUUUGUUCUUUAAGCCUUUAGUUGUUGUUUCACCAUUCUCAUCUUUAAAAAAACUCCAGAAUCCAAAUUACAAUAGUGAGACUCUACAAUCUUCGCCAAAAUCCCGAUAAUGACUUAGUCCUUUCAUAAAUAUGUAAGCGGUUGUAGAGAAACUCACCGACUGUUUUGAAGGAGGAGAAGAAGAUAAGAAAACGUGUAAGAGCUAUCUUUCUCUCUCUCUUGUCAUGUUUCUAUACUCUCUCAUCAGUUACUAUUGCUUGUCUCUGGCCAUAGACGGUGGUGUCAAAGAUCAUAGAUGAUAAGUAUCAUCAUAGGAGGAAUGGAACCUCCACCGUGGGGUUAAGAUGAAGUUCAUGUCUUGGUCGUCGAUGACAACAUCGUUGAUCAGAUUAUCACAGAGAGAUAAUGUGAAGGCCGAAAAGUUUUGGUGAUAAUAUGAUUGUUACGGUUGCAAUUAGCCUGAUCAUUUUAUUAUUUAGCACAACCAUAUCUUGUUUACUCGU